CAGCCGCCGCGGGAAUACAGAGGGUGCGAGCGUUAAUCGGAUUUACUGGGCGUAAAGCGUGCGUAGGCGGCUUUUUAAGUCGGAUAUGAAAUCCCCGAGCUUAACUUGGGAAUUGCAUUCGAUACUGGGAAGCUAGAGUAUGGGAGAGGAUGGUAGAAUUCCAGGUGUAGCGGUGUAAUGCGUAGAGAUCUGGAGGAAUACCGAUGGCGAAGGCAGCCAUCUGGCCUAAUACUGACGCUGAGGUACGAAAGCAUGGGGAGCAAACAGGAUUAGAUACCCGUGUAGUCCCUGUCUCUUAUAC
rnacentral:rRNA from 1 species